GUGUCGCUGUUUUAUACCUUUUGAAAAAAAAAAUUGUAGACCAAAUAAAAUCAGACUUUCUUUAAAAAUUUAUAGAUAGUUUAUAAAUCGAAAUUUAGUAUAAUUUUCCUUUUGAAUACGUUAAAAUAAGAGUAUUGUAUAUAUAAAUAGCUAGACCAUUAAGCAUAGGGUCUAAAUCAGAUAUUUUAGAUUAUUUAUUAAAAAUAAC
rnacentral:lncRNA from 1 species